CAGUAUACAACAUUUUUAUUUCCCUCAUGGGAUUAAUGAAGUACAUGUUCUGCGUCUUUUCCCCAUAUACAGAGAGAGUCCAGACUGAGAUAGACGCUGUGAUUGGUUCAUCCAGAGCACCCUCUCUAAAUGACAAAGAAGACAUGCCCUAUACUAACGCAGUCAUUCAUGAGAUCCAGAGAAUGGGCAACAUCCUUCCCCUUAAUGUGAUCCACAUGGCAACCAAGGACACAACACUCGACAAGUACAUAAUCCCAAAGGGAAACCAUCAUCAUGCCCACCCUGACCUCGGUUCUUCACGAUGAGACGAUGUGGGAAACGUCGCACUCCUUCAACCCUCAACACUUUCUGGAUCAAGACGGCCAGUUUAGGAAGAGAGAAGCCUUCCUUCCUUUCUCAGCAGGGAAGCGUGUGUGUCCCGGGGAGCAGCUGGCCAGGGCAGAAGUAUUCCUGUUUUUUACCUCCCUUCUCCAGAGGUUUUCUCUCUCUGCACCAGACGGAGAGCAGCCCAGUCUGGAGUUCAAGUUAGGAGGCACUCACAGUCCCAAACCCUACCGCCUCUGUGCUGUACCCCGAUAAACCACCAGGUGUCCCAGAGUCACCAUCUAUGUUUCACACAAAAGACAACACUGUGCCAGUAUAUUCAAUGUAAUUUGUUCAUUUUGACCUUUAAUCCUUUAAAGUCAAACUUUAUUUGAAAGUGGGUUCCUUCUCACACAUCGACAGGCCUUCUUCCAUAAAACUUUUCAGAUCAGAGGUUUAUUCAAAAGUGUUCUGAAGGAAAAUCACUUGGAGCUCGUUUCCUCUUAUCCAUGCGACUACACGUUGAAUGUGUUGUACGUAUAGUUGGAUAUAACAUACUUCAUUCAGAGCCUUUUUUUAAUCAUUUUCUGGCUGUGGUUUGGGUCUGAUUUUUGUCAAGGCUGUAAAUCACUGUGCACAUGUGUGGUACCUCCUGGCAGGGUGUAAGCAGUGUGCAGCAAACUGGACCUUUGAGUCCGGCUGUUAAAGUUUGUGUGACAGAAAUGUUGAAUAAACUAUUUCACCUUUA